UACAGAGGUCUCGAGCGAUGUUCGGAUUCAUUGGGCGUAAAGGGUGCGUAGGUGGCACUGUAAGUCGGGUGUGAAAUCCUGAGGCUUAACCUCGGAACUGCAUUCGAUACUGCGGUGCUUGAGGACUGGAGAGGAGACUGGAAUUCAUGGUGUAGCAGUGAAAUGCGUAGAGAUCAUGAGGAAGACCAGUGGCGAAGGCGGGUCUCUGGACAGUUCCUGACACUGAGGCACGAAGGCCAGGGGAGCAAACGGG
rnacentral:rRNA from 1 species